CAUAAUUAACUUAAACAAUGUAUUUUAGUUAAUAGUGGUGGAAAACUAGGUUGGACUCAACUUCUAUCGCUCGGUCAUUCAGCAAACAUAAUCGUGCUCUAUGAUCUAUUCAUUAAGCAAGCAUAGUGCACCCUAAAGAUAACUCAAAAAUCCAUAUACAAAGGCCACGCUUGCUUUACUAUUCACCAAGGGGUUCAUUGUAUUUAGCUUGUAAGGUUUUCAGUUAGCUUUCAACCAUACUAGCCUACUUUUUUCA
rnacentral:lncRNA from 1 species